GCAAUAAAUAAAGGCAACAGUAGUAUACCGCUGUUAAAACUCAUAAAUCCAUUGACAAAAAACAAAAUCGGGGUAACAAACUAAAACUGACGGAAACGCAUAAAUAUAAGAGGAGAACAACGACAAACACUACAAUGUAACUAACACACACAGAAACGGACCAAGCAUCAGACAAAAUCCCACGAGAAUAACAAAUAUAAAAUCAAAACCAAAUACAUGAAUUUGGGAUAGACAAGUACCGUGACACGUCUUAUCGCAAUGUCAAUUUACA
rnacentral:lncRNA from 1 species